rnacentral:rRNA from 1 species
UGGGGAAUAUUGCACAAUGGGCGCAAGCCUGAUGCAGCCAUGCCGCGUGUAUGAAGAAGGCCUUCGGGUUGUAACGUACUUUCAGUCGGGAGGAAGGUGUCAAGGUUAAUAACCUUGGCAAUUGACGUUACCGACAGAAGAAGCACCGGCUAACUCCGUGCCAGCAGCCGCGGUAAUACGGAGGGCGCGAGCGUUGUCCGGAAUUAUUGGGCGUAAAGGGCUUGUAGGUGGCUGGUUGCGUCUGUCGUGAAAGCUCAUGGCUUAACUGUUGGUUUGCGGUGGGUACGGGCUGGCUUGAGUGCAGUAGGGGAGGCUGGAAUUCCUGGUGUAGCGGUGGAAUGCGCAGAAAUCAGGAGGAAUACCGGUGGCGAAGGCGGGUCUCUGGGCUGUUACUGACACUGAGGAGCGAAAGCAUGGGGAGCGAACAGG